UACGUAGGGGGCGAGCGUUGUCCGGAUUCAUUGGGCGUAAAGCGCGCGCAGGCGGCUCGGAAAGUCGGGUGUGAAAACUCGGGGCUCAACCCCGGGCGUGCAUCCGAUACUGCCGGGCUUGAGGCAGGUAGGGGAGAUCGGAAUUCCUGGUGUAGCGGUGAAAUGCGCAGAUAUCAGGAGGAACACCGGUGGCGAAGGCGGAUCUCUGGGCCUGUCCUGACGCUGAGGCGCGAAAGCUAGGGGAGCGAACAGG
rnacentral:rRNA from 1 species